GAUGAACGCUGGCGGCGUGCCUAAUACAUGCAAGUCGAACGAACAGACGAGGACGUUGCUCCUCUAACGUUGGCGGCGGAAGGGUGAGUAACAUGUCGAUCACCUACCUAUAGGAUUGGGAUAAGUUAGUGAAACCGGAGCUAAUAACGUACUAUAGCUUCAACCGCAUGGUUCAAUAGCGCAAGCCGGUUUUGAUGUCACCGCUGCAUGGAACCGCGCUGCAUUAGCUAGUUGGUAAGGUAACGGCUUACGAAGGCCACGAUGAGUCGCCGACCUGACAGCGUGAUCGGGCACACUGGGACUGAGACACGGUACUGACUCCUACGGGAGGCAGCAGUAGGGAAUCGUGCGCGCUGUGCGGAAGCCUGACGGAGCAGCGCCACGUGGGUGAUGAAGGUCUGCGGGUCGUAAGACUGUGUUAUGAUGGAAGAACAAAUGUGUAAGUAACUAUGCACGUCUUGACGGUACCUGAUCAGAAAGCCACGGCUAACUACGUG
rnacentral:rRNA from 1 species